AUAUUGAUUUGUGUCUCAGUCUAUUUUUGUUAGCUUUACUGAUAGUUUGUCUUGUGUUUAGCUGGUGGGAGCUCUUUCAGAUUGACUCCUGGGUCCUUUCGCCAGUACACCUUCUUUCUAUGUUUGUUUGGAGAGCUGGGGGCUGAGGCCUGGCAGGAUAACCAGGCAGUCACUGCUGUCUUAGUUUUCUGCUGGACUCUCUCCAGACUCUGUGGCAUGUUGGGGUAGGCCACAUAUAGCUUAGUGUUCAAGGUUUGGAGGCUGCUGUGAUUGAGGGGACUGAAGAAAAGACAGCAGGUUAAUAGCCUGUACUGUGGAAAUCCAUGCAGCAGUUAAAAAGAAUAAGCUAAUUUUGUCUUUACCAACAUAGACUGACCACUGAGAUGACAGAUGAGAGGAAAAAAAAGCAAGAUCAGUAAUGUCCUACUUUAAGUUACUUAAAAUCUGCCUCAGUUUAUUCAUCUUCAUAAUGUGGAAAAUAGCUACACUGUGAGGAGUAAUUGAGAAAAUAUAUGUAAAGUGUUUAGAACAGUAAUAUAUUUUAUGAAAAUUAACUUAAAACAGUUCUCUUCUAUGGGUGGAUGUGUGACUAAGCAUCCACACAUACUUAGAAAAAAACUCGAGGGGUGCCCAGGUGGCUCAGUGGGUUGGGGGUCUGACUUCGGCUCAGGUCAUGAACUCACAGCACACGAGUUCAAGCCCCACAUCGGGCUUUGGGCUGACAGCUCAGAGCCUGGAGUUUGCUUCUGAUUCUGUGUCUUUCUCUCUUUCUGCUCCUCCCCGGCUUGUGCUCUCUCUCUCAAAUAAAUAUUUAAAAAACAAAACUUGAGCUACCAUUGACAGAAUUAUGAAAGUAAUCAUUUUAGAGUGUGUAAUUCAGUGGGUUUCUGCAUAUUGACAAGACUGUACAGCCAUCACCGCAAAUUCCAGAGCAUUUUCAUCACUCCAGAAAGAAUACCCUACCUGUAAGCAGUCACUCCAUUUCUCCUUUCUCUCAACCCCCGGAAAACACUGGAUAUAUCUCUAUGGAUAUACCUAUUUUGAUAAAUGGAGUUGUGUAAAUAUGUUACCUUUUAUGUCUGGCUCAACUUGCACUUAGGGUAAUGUUUCCAUGGUUUAUCCAUACUAUAGCAGGUGUCUGUAUUAAUUUCUUCUUAUGGUUGACUAAUAAAUACUCCAUUUGUAUGUAAACCCUACAUUAUCCACUGGGGUUGCUUCUCCCUUUCAGCAAUUGUGAACAAUGCUUGUUAGGAACAUAGGUGUACAAAUAGCUCUUUGGGUACCUGCUGUCAAUUCUUCUGGGUAUAUAUCCAGAAGUGGAAUUGUUGGAUCGUGUGGUAAUUCUGUUUUUAAUAUUUUUUGAGGAACUGCCAUAGUGUUUUCCAUAGAGGAUGCACCAUUUCACGUUUCUCCCAGCAAAGUAUGAGAAUUCUAAUUUUUUCACAUCCUUGCCAAGACCUCUGUUAUUUUCCUUAAAAAAAAAAAAUGGUACCCAUUCUAAUGGGUGUGAA